rnacentral:tRNA from 1 species
GGAGGGGUGGGUGAGUGGUUAAUACCAACAGACUGUAAAUCUGUCGCCUAACGGCUGCGCAGGUUCGAAUCCUGCCCCCUCCA